ACGGGUGAGUAACGCGUGAGAAUCUGCCUACAGGACGGGGAUAACGGUUGGAAACGACCGCUAAGACCCGAUGUGCCGAGAGGUGAAAUAUUUAUAGCCUGUAGAUGAGCUCGCGUCUGAUUAGCUAGUUGGUGAGGUAAGGGCUUACCAAGGCGACGAUCAGUAGCUGGUCUGAGAGGAUGAUCAGCCACACUGGGACUGAGACACGGCCCAGACUCCUACGGGAGGCAGCAGUGGGGAAUUUUCCGCAAUGGGCGAAAGCCUGACGGAGCAACGCCGCGUGCGGGAGGAAGGCCUUAGGGUUGUAAACCGCUUUUCUCAAGGAAGAAGACAGUGACGGUACUUGAGGAAUAAGCCUCGGCUAACUUCGUGCCAGCAGCCGCGGUAAUACGAAGGAGGCAAGCGUUAUCCGGAAUUAUUGGGCGUAAAGCGUCCGCAGGCGGUUAGUCAAGUCUGUUGUUAAAGCGUGAGGCUCAACCUCAUACCGGCAAUGGAAACUGACAGACUAGAGUGCAGUAGGGGUAGCGGGAACUCCCGGUGUAGCGGUGAAAUGCGUAGAUAUCGGGAAGAACACCAGAGGCGAAGGCGCGCUACUGGGCUGUAACUGACGCUCAUGGACGAAAGCUAGGGGAGCGAAAGGGAUUAGAUACCCCUGUAGUCCUAGCUGUAAACGAUGGACACUAGGUGUUGCGCGAAUCGACCCGUGCAGUGCCGUAGCCAACGCGUUAAGUGUCCCGCCUGGGGAGUACGCACGCAAGUGUGAAACUCAAAGGAAUUGACGGGGGCCCGCACAAGCGGUGGAGUAUGUGGUUUAAUUCGAUGCAACGCGAAGAACCUUACC
rnacentral:rRNA from 1 species